CUAAUUUAUAUAUAUAUAUUAUUAAUUUCUUUUAUAUAGAGAAAACGAAAGAGGUUAACAAGGAGAAAAAGAAAUCAUUUGGACCAUUGGUAAAAUUCAAAUCUAUUGCGUGCAGCAACCAAAUAAUGGAGUAUGUUUUAAAUUAUUAAAGUUAAAUAGUGUAUAUUUAAUUCAAAUAUUUGUUAUAGAUUGUGCAUUUUA